CGUUGGUAGAAUGCAUUUCUGUGUGUUUUAGCCCUCCGAGUUUGUGUUUGUUCCCACAAAUGGUACAGUCACGUUGGGUCGGGCUGAGUUCCCCUAUGCUUCCUUAGGGGCUGGAUAACGAGAUCGAGUGUAAUUAGCAGAAAUAGAGGCAAAGAGAAGCAGGCACAUCCCAGUGUGUGAGAAGGAUUUAUGGGACUACGGGCAUUUUGGGCUGCAGGAUGGGGAGGGAGGAAGGGUCAGCAAGUGAGAAACUGGGGGAGAUUGGAUGUUUUGGCCCCUCCUGGGGUUGUGUGGUGGCAGUGAGCUGAAGGGACCUGGGGAGAGCACUGGGGGCUGCGGAGAUCUUCUGAGAUCUUCCAUGCCCAGAACAAGUACCCUGGAGGUGUUCUCCCUUUGGAACUGGACCUUUGCAAAGGGUUUCUUUGGAUCAUCCUUAUUUUUUUCUUCCAACAGAAGCCCCUUCUGCCCUCCCCCUCCCUCUUUCCAUGUUUUGGAUGUGAACCCCAUAUCCCCACAGCAUGGAUGGCAAACGUGGGAAUGCCACACUUGGGAGGAGGUCCCUUCACUCUGUCUUUCUCUCUCUUCUUCUCCACUUGGAUUUUUCCCUGGAUGUGGGGCUGGGGUGCAGCCACAGCCCCAUCCCUAUGUGGGUGCCAGUGGUGGGGCAUCCAUCACCAACGCCACUUCUCCCCCUUGCUGGAGCAAUGACAGCAGCACCCAAUUAUUGAAGCAAUUGCUAAAAAUGCACCAAACCAGCCUCCUCAUUUCGCUCAGGACUCUGCAGCUGUAGAGUCUGCAGGUGCUAGCUUGGACCACUUGUCCAUAGGAAGAAGGUCACGAUGGGGACAUGCCGCCAGCAGCAUGGUGGCCUCAUGUCCUUUUGGAAGCAUCUUCCAUGCGGACCUACAGUGCAUCAUCCACUUCUCUUUUGGGGGAGAAAAGCAGCAUUUAGGAUUAACUACAUUUGAGGCAAAGGGGAUGAUGGAGAAAUGAGGUCAACGGCCGCCCCGAGCACAGCGGCACCUCCCAAAUCCCCCUAAGCCCCAUCAGAUCACACAGGAUUUACCCUUCAUGGGCAUCAGGGGCUGAUGGAAUGGGGGAGACCCCCCCAAAGCUUCCCCAUAGCCUGUGACCCCCAGCCUGGUUCGGUUGGAGUGGUCACCAUGCCGGUGGCCCUGUGUCACUGCUGGGUAGCCAGGAUGGGUCCCCCAUGCCCGGUGUUGGAGCGUAGUGAAGGGAGUUGUUUUGUUUUAUUUCUCUCCUCUCUUUGUCUCUGUCUCUCCUCCUCUCUCUCUUUCUUUCUCUCUUGCAUUUUUGUGAAUCUAAUGAUGCACUUAUAUUGCCCCGCUUUUCCCUUCUCUUCAUACCUUACCUACUAAAGGAGGAAAUGCCACUUUUUUGAGGCCGGCCUCGCCGUCCCCUUCUCCACGGCCUCG
rnacentral:lncRNA from 1 species